GUCUUGUUUAGGCAGCACAUACAAUACAUUGAAUGUGAUAUAGAGAAGAUUAGCAUGACCCCUGUGAAAGGAUGAAACUCAAAUUCAAUUUAUUUUACCAGCAUGA
rnacentral:snRNA from 1 species